AGAAUCUCACACUCAGCCUGCCUCCCACACGUUCCUCUUCCCGCCCAGUCCUAUCAGCUAACUUUUGCCUCUCAGGAUUCAGAUUCAUCUUCUACAGGUUUUUCAACAAGGAAAUGCAUGACCUUUCCAGCCUCUUCAGUCUUCUUCUCGACCUAUGAACAAGUUUUGCAUUUUCUGUCUGAAAGGAGGAUGAAGAGUUUGGCAGAGAAGAAUGUGAAGCGGUGCAAAGCAGGGCUUCUGACAACUGACUUAGCAGUUCUCUUCACUUGCUUGCUAAGGACACGAGUACCUCAACGCCCAAAUCCAGAAAGAGAAGCAGGAAGCGAUGGCGGCCUGCGAAGGACACACCCCUGGACGCCGAGUCCUGGGUUCUUGGGUUCUCAGCCUUCCCGCUGCACAGCAGGGACCUCAGAAUCGUCCCCCUGUGAAUUCUCUCACCCAUAUUCUCAUCCUUCCCACUGUUUUCCCUGCUUCUCCCACUCACCCUAUUCUGGGAAAAUUCCAGGUAUGAUGGCCAAGAAAUUUCUUUUUCAAAAGGGAACACUUCUAAGAUUAAGAAGAUGUGCUACCAGAUGAAUUCCAAGAAACAGAUGUAAAAUAAGAUACUCCCAGGCGAACCAGGGAUGUUGUGGGUCUUGGGAAGGAAAGGGUUGGCCGGGCUCUGUGUCUGGUCAAAUCUCCCAGGAACCUUGCUAAUCAGACUUCUGCCGAUACUUACUUGCAGAAAGAGUAUGAAGAGCCCUCAUCUACGGAAUGUCUUUAGCAGGCAGGACCUUGUCUUUCUAGGUGGCAUGUGAUAAACAAACAUAGUAGUUAUAGAUUUGUAGCACUUGGAUCUCUGGAAGAUGUUGAUGUCAAAUAUAUGAUUAUUAGAAAGUGAAAUAGGGAUAUUUCAUGAUUGAAAUUACUCCCUUUUGUGAGUACAAUGUCCUGCCUGCCCACUUGGGAGCCUCAUAUAGUAAAUCUUGACGAGCAAGAGCCUGGGAAGUUGCAAAGGUAGUCUCCUCUUCAACUUCACUCACCAGGACCUUGGGAUUGAUUGCCUAGCCUUUUGAAUUACUAGGAAAACUUAGAAACUGGUGCAGUUUCUUGAGACUUUGACUUGAUAGUUUAAAUUUCCCAAUUUACUAGUAUAGACUUGUGCAGAAUACAUGUUGAUAAAGUUCUUGAUCUCUCCUCUGGCUGAUCAUAGAGCCACCCUCAAGCCUAACGUCAUGCAUUUAUGUCUUUUCUCUUGUUUUCUUGAUUGUCCUUAUCUUUAGAAUCCCGCCUACCACAGUCACAAACACAACGCCAUAGACAUAAUGCCAUUUUUGCCCAUAAAUAUUCCGAUGUGUAUUUCCUAAAAACAAGUGCUUGCUCUUCCCUAGCCACAGCAGCAUGGUUAAAAUCAGGAACUAACCUUAAUGCAGACUAGCAUCUAAUCUGCAGACCUUUAUGCAACUGUUUCCAAGUGCUCCACGCACGCUCCUGAUGGAGAACAAACAAGGAGACCAAGUUCCGGUUCCAUCUUUCAUCCCAGAUCACGUGCCACACUUGAUCGUCUCAUCUCUUUAGCCUCCUUUAAUCUGGACUG
ensembl:lncRNA